rnacentral:rRNA from 1 species
ACGCUCGACACCUACGGGAGGUAGCAGUGGGGAAUAUUGCACAAUGGGGGAAACCCUGAUGCAGCGACGCCGCGUGGAGGAAGAAGGUCUUCGGAUUGUAAACUCCUGUUGUUGGGGAAAAAGAGGAUGGUACCCAACAAGGAAGUGACGGCUAACUACGUGCCAGCAGCCCGGUAAUCUGAGCGGGCUGGCAAGGC